CUUAGAACUUUUCAUUCUCACUGGUCACACAAAGCAGUAAGGUAGUAGUGGAGUCUGCAAAAGGUCAUGUCACAGGAAGACUGCAGAUGACACACGUAAGCACUUGUCCUCUGCUUUCCUAGUGUGAUCAUGGGUGCAAGGCUGCUCUACUCUGUAGCACUUUGUCUGCUUGGGGCAGGACCUUUUGUGGCUGAAGUAACCCAGACGCCAAGAUACCUGGUCAAUGAAAAAGGACAGAAAGCACAUAUGAGCUGUAGUCCUGAGAAGGGGCAUACUGGAUUUUACUGGUAUCAACAGAAUCAGAAAAAUGAACUUAAACUUUUAAUUAACUUUCGAAAUGAAGAAAUCAUUGAGCAAACAGACUUGGUCAAGAGGAGAUUCUCAGCCAAGUGUUCCACAAAUUCACGCUGCAUCCUGGAAAUCCUAUCCUCUGAAGAAGGAGACUCAGCACUGUACCUCUGUGCGAGCAGCUUGUACACAGUGCUGAAAUGUACAUUGCCCUCUAUGCAUAAACCAUUGUGGAUACAAUUCAGGAAGUGGGUGAUACCAGAAACUGGAAGUCAGUAA